CUGGCGGCGUGUCUUAGANAUGCAAGUCGAACGGACUUUUUUUGUGUAGCAAUACGUGGAAAAAGUUAGUGGCGAACGGGUGAGUAAUACUGGGGUAAUUUACCCCGGAGCGGGGCACAACUUCGAGAAAUCGAGGCUAAUUCCCCAUACGCUCCCCCAGACACAAGUCUGGAGGAGGAAAGGUGGCCUCUACUUGUAAGCUAUCGCUCCGGGAUAAGCUCCUGGCCUAUCAGUUUGUUGGUGAGGUAACGGCCCACCAAGGCUUUGACGGGUAGCCGGCCUGAGAGGGUGAUCGGCCACACGGGCACUGCGACACGGGCCCGACUCCUACGGGAGGCAGCAGUCUAGAAAAUUGCGCAAUGGGCGCAAGCCUGACGCAGCGACGCCGCGUGCGGGAUGAAGUCCUUCGGGAUGUAAACCGCUGUCCCGGGAAACGAUGGGACGCAUACCCAAUACGUAUGCGCUUUGACGGUAUCCCGGAAGAAAGCACCGGCUAACUACGUGCCAGCAGCCGCGGUAAUACGUAGGGUGCAAGCGUUGCCCGGAUUUACUGGGCGUAAAGGGUGCGUAGGCGGGCCGGUAAGUCUGCUGUGAAAUCUCCGGGCUUAACCUGGAAACUGCGGUCGAUACUGCCGGUCUAGAGGACAGAAGAGGAGAGUGGAACUCCUGGUGUAGCGGUAAAUGCGUGGAUAUCAGGAGGAAGGCCGAUGGCGAAGGCAGCUCUCUGGUAUGUUCCUGACGCUGANGCACGAAAGCUAGGGUAGCAA
rnacentral:rRNA from 1 species